rnacentral:sRNA from 1 species
GCCGGGCAUGGUGGCGCACACCUGUAAUCCCAGCAUCUCAGAAGGCUAAGACAGGAGGAUUGCAAGUUCAAAGCCAGCCUCAGUAAAAAGUGAGGCACUAAGCAACUCAGUGAGACCCUGUCUCUA